AAAAGAAAGAAAAGAAAGAGAGAUGGAAUGAAAUAAAAGUUGAAUUGCUCGAUAGUUUGAUUUUGACCCCGACAAUGCACUUUUGCAAAAUAAGAGUCCUAAUGCGAAAUUGACCGCGUGUAAACCAAAUUGAGGGUAAAAGAAACGCGUUGGCGAAGUCGGUUCGGCAAUCCGACGAACCUACGCAAAGAUAUCGCCAAAAGAAGGUUUUCGGCUAUAGUUGCCGCUUUAUAUAGCAUUGAAAUGCUAACUUGUCAAUUAUGAGUCGACGACACGCUAAUUACGGUAGAGACCGCUCUAGUCCUAUUUGCACGGAGUCGCGAGAGAUAGUCGUCGACGCUUUCCGAGACGUGGAUUCUAGUUGAUUGACACCACUACAGGUUCCAGUGCGAGUUUUGAGGCCGAGGAUCGUGGCAAGGGCCCUGCAGCUUAGCUAGCUGAC